CACGUAGGGGACGAGCGUUGUCCGGAUUCAUUGGGCGUAAAGGGCGCGUAGGCGGCCUUCUAAGUCGAACGUGAAAUCCCCGGGCUCAACCCGGGAACUGCGUCCGAUACUGGAAGGCUUGAAUCCGGGAGAGGGUAGUGGAAUUCCCGGUGUAGUGGUGAAAUGCGUAGAUAUCGGGAGGAACACCAGUGGCGAAGGCGACUACCUGGCCUGUUCUUGACGCUGAGGCGCGAAAGCUAGGGGAGCAAACGGG
rnacentral:rRNA from 1 species